AUCGCUUCUCGGCCUUUUGGCUAAGAUCAAGUGUAGAAGCAUAUAACAUAUAUUCUUUAUUAAAUCUUAUAAUUAGUCAUGCAUUAAUUACCAUCACCUUCACCUGGUGCUGAUUCAAUUGUUCUUUGUUAAAAGGCAGUGAAAGGGAUCAGGGCAACUCAGCCUUUCUACAGAAGGCCUUUUUACAAGAAACUUC